UCUUUUAAUUUUUUUCCAUCCUCCUCUUUAAUACGUAGGGGGCAAGCGUUAUCCGGAAUUACUGGGUGUAAAGGGUGCGUAGGUGGUAUGGCAAGUCAGAAGUGAAAACCCAGGGCUUAACUCUGGGACUGCUUUUGAAACUGUCAGACUGGAGUGCAGGAGAGGUAAGCGGAAUUCCUAGUGUAGCGGUGAAAUGCGUAGAUAUUAGGAGGAACAUCAGUGGCGAAGGCGGCUUACUGGACUGAAACUGACACUGAGGCACGAAAGCGUGGGGAGCAAACAGG
rnacentral:rRNA from 1 species